rnacentral:tRNA from 1 species
GGGGGUGUAGCUCAUCUGGUAGAGCGCGUGCUUAGCAUCCACUUGGUGAGCAAUCAUUACAGUACAUGUUCCUGCACGAGGUACUGGGUUCGACUCCCAGCUCCUCCA